rnacentral:rRNA from 1 species
GUACGCUGGCGGCACGCCUAACACAUGCAAGUCGAACGAAGUAGCAAUACUUAGUGGCAGACGGGUGAGUAACAUGUGGGUAUCUGCCCUUUGGCCUGGAAUAACACGAGGAAACUUGUGCUAAUACCGGAUAAGUCUUUACAGAGAAAGCUUUAUGCACCAUUGGAUGAGCCCGCACUUGAUUAGUUUGUUGGUGGGGUAAUGGCCUACCAAGACUUUGAUCAAUAGCUGAUUUGAGAGGAUGAUCAGCCACAUUGGGACUGAGACACGGCCCAAACUCCUACGGGAGGCAGCAGUGGGGAAUCUUGCACAAUGGAGGAAACUCUGAUGCAGCGAUGCCGCGUGAGUGAAGAAGGCCCUUGGGUUGUAAAGCUCUUUCGUCGGGGAAGAAAAUGACUGUACCCGAAU